UACCGGGGCGCGAACCCGGUUCCCCUGCAUCGGCAGGCGGACGCGCAACCACUGCGCCACCAGGGAAGCCCAAUUAAUGUAAUUAUUUUAAUGCAUGCACAGGAUAAAGAAAAUUCCCAUUCCACAGAUGGGUAUAAAUGAAAUUCUCCCUUCCACACCUGACCUUCAGUUCUCCCCACAGGCAAUUACUAGAGGUUUUUGUGUAUCCUUUCAGAGAUAUUUUAAACCUAUGCAAAUAUAUAUAAAAUAGUAGCACACCAUACACACUGUUCUGCAGUGGAGGAUGUUUUAAAAAUACAAUUUUAAGGGCCUCAACCCUCAACCACCCAAUCAGAAUUUUCGAGGUUGGGCCCAGGAAUCUGUUUUUACCAAGCUCGCCAGAGACUGUGAACACAUGCAGGGGGUUGGUAGGGAUGGGGCUGGUCCAGUCUGUGGCUUCCCGGCCACUCCUGAGUACCCAGGCCCCCUGCCUUCAGCUUGGUUGGCCUCCUGGGGUCUUAGAGCUGGGGACUCAUAAACUCCUUGGCCCUCAGUUUUCCUCCUCAGACACUCUUCUAUGCUCAGACCACUUCCUGCUUCUCCAGGGAUCCGGCCCCCAGGGAUCCUGACCACUGUGGCCCGCUAGGCCCAAACCUCCUCAAGGCCAAGCCUGGCCCUGCCUGUUGGCUUCUCCCGGGGCAUUCCCAAGGGUCAGCAUCUGGGAGUCUAGCUCUCUAGAACCCAGUGGAAUUCUCAGCUUGACUCUGUUGCUACCCAAUGACUGAGAGACCAACUCACAAAAGGCUGAUUAACAAAUCAGAACGUUAAUGUGUUUCGAAAAUAUCUACCCUUCAUUGAGUCCCUACUGUGUGCCAGGUACUGGGUUAGGCAUUUCUUACAAUAUCUCCUCGGGGUAGAUCUUAUUAAACACCAUUGUAUUGUAUUGUAUUGUAUUGAUUUUAUUUUACUUUUAAAGCUUUUUUUUGGCUGCACAGCAUGCAGGAUCUUAGUUUCCUGACCAGGGAUCGAACCCGCACCCCCUGCAGUAGAAGCACAGAGUCUUAACCACUAGACUGCCAGGGAAGUCCCUUAAACCCCAUUUUACAGAUAAGCAAGGAAACUGAAGCUUAGAGAAGAAUUUACGGACUGAUGAGUGGGGGAGACAGUCUGACUCUAAAAUCCUUACUCUUUCCUCUAUCCCACACUGCUACGCAGUCCAAAACCUGUCAGUCAUUACAGGAAGCGGGCUUUGCCAGGAGGAGGAACAAGUAUGUUUGCAUCCGGGACACCUCUUCCUGUUAGCAAGAUCCCUGCGAACUAAAUUAUAAUCUGAAGAUGAGCACAGAACGCAAGUCAAGGGGAUGGAGAACUGGAGGCACUGCCCACAAAGCUAUGACCACACUAACCUUGACCCAGAACAGAACUCUGCUCUCUAGCGACCUAAUGUUGACAUCUCCACAGCACAGUGGACCCUCUCCUUGCAGAAUGCCGCAGCCCACAGAUACCAUUACAAAUCGAUGGGGUGUGAGCCAGAGGAGACCUGGAGCAGCCACACAGCCUUCCCGGGGUGCUGAAGGACAGACCACACUGAUUGAGCUCUCGGCUGGGUCUUUAAACGUCAGCGUGGGCGUGACCACCUCAGACCUUGGGCGCGGAAAUAAAAUGCAGAAGGGAGGGGCCUUCUAACGUGUGGGAGGAGAGGAGCUGUUCACUCAGACCAGCCUGGCCGCCUGAGCACGGCUCAUCAUCACAGAGGCGUGGAGAAGAGCGCAGACAGCUCACCCUCCCUCCCACCCCCCAGAAUUCACCCAGACCCCCUCCUGUCACCAGGCCCCACUACAUGGGCCUCUGGGCCUGCCCGGCUCAAUCAUUCACCGUUCUAGGAGCUGGGAGGACAGACACACACGUGACAGAGAAGGUCCGACCUACUCUCAUGCAGCCUCAAAGGGGAGACUGAUAGGACGAGGAAGGAAAGAGAAAGAGACCCAAGAUCAGUUUCAGAUGUGCUGUGUGAGUUUUCUGAAUACCUGUCUCUUUCCUUACAUCGCAAAGUCUGUGGAGAGCGGAAAUUUAAACGUUGCCUCUGCUGUGUCCUGGUUGUGAGGCUUUUGGCCAGACGUUUAAACUUUCCAGAUCUCAGCUUCCUUUGAGUCCCACAGAAGCAGAUCCUGAAACCAGGAUUCAAUAUAAGAAGUGUAUCAGGAGGUGAUGCCAGAAUUUUCCAGGGGACAAAUGGGGAAGUGAGACAGGGAAAGGAAGGAACCCCAAGUAGGGUACAUUGUUAAGCAAGUUACAACACUGGGCACUGGAGUUCAGCCCUGCUGGGCAACUCUGGGACACAUGUAGACUGUAGGUUCACAACUUGGCUGAACACUGCAAUCACCUGGGAGCUUUAAAAAAUACAUAUGGGGACUUCCCUGGUGGCACAGUUGUUAAGAAUCCGCCUGCCAAUUCAGGGGAUACAAGUUCGAGCCCUGGCCCAGGAAGAUCUCACAGGCCGUGGAGCAACUAAGCCCAUACGCCACAACUACUGAGCCUGCGCUUUACAGCCACAACUACUGAGCCCGUGUGUCACAACUACUGAAGCCCGCACGCCUACAGCCCGUGCUCCGCAACAAGAGACGCCACUGCAAUGAGAAGCCCACGCACCGCAAUGAAGAGUAGCCUCCAUUCACUGCAGCUAGAGAAAGCCCAGGUGCAGCAGCGAAGACCCAACACAGCCAAAAAUAAAAACAAAUAAAUAAAUAAAUUUACUUUAAAAAAAUACAUGUGCCUGAGUCCCCUCCCCCAACAGAGACACGGAUUUAAUUGGCCUGGGAUGUGGCCUGGGCAUCAAAAUUUUUUUAUAUCCCGCAGAUGAUCUAAUGUACAGCGAAGUUUGAGUUACUGGUAUAGAAUACACCCCAGAGCUGUUCCAGCCAAGAGGUGAAAACACUAGGGUGUUUACCCACUGUCUUCAUCCAUCUUUGCGAGAAGAUGCUCCCUUGGCCGGAAAAAAAAAAAAAUGCUCAGGUCUCUUAAGCAGAAAAAGCAAACAAACAAAAAAUCUCCCCCAAAUUCCCCAAACCAAACUCACAGAUGUUUAUAAUAAGCAGCCCUGGUUGUCUGAAGGUGAAAUUGAACACUGUGUUGACAGCAUCCAUACAGACUUCAUCUCUAAAAUGGGGAUAAAAAAUUUGUGGAUCCUUGUGAGGAUUAGUAAAUGUUGUUAAGUGCC